rnacentral:rRNA from 1 species
UACGGAGGGGGCGAGCGUUAUUCGGAAUUAUUGGGCGUAAAGGGCGCGUAGGCGGCCCUGUAAGUCAAAGGUGAAAUCCCUCGGCUCAACUGAGGAACUGCCUUUGAAACUGCAAGGCUUGAGGCCGGGAGGGGGUAGCGGAAUUCCCAAUGUAGCGGUGAAAUGCGUAGAUAUUGGGAGGAACACCAGUGGCGAAGGCGGCUCCCUGGACCGGUUCUGACGCUGAGGCGCGAAAGCGUGGGUAGCAAACAGG